rnacentral:tRNA from 1 species
GGAUGUAGUUCAGUUGGUUAGAGCGUCAGAUUGUGGUUCUGAAUGUCGUGGGUUCGAGUCCCAUCCUC